GGGGAAUUUUCCGCAAUGGGCGAAAGCCUGACGCAGCAACGCCGCGUGAGGGAUGAAGGCCUUCGGGUUGUAAACCUCUUUUCUCAGGGAAGAUAAUGACGGUACCUGAGGUAUAAGUCACGGCUAACUACGUGCCAGCAGCCGCGGUAAUACGUAGGUGGCCAGCGUUGUCCGGAUUUACUGGGCGUAAAGAGCGCGCAGGCGGUCGUUCAAGUCGAGUGUGAAAGCCCCCGGCUCAACUGGGGAGGGUCACUCGAUACUGAUCGACUCGAAGGCAGGAGAGGGAAGCGGAAUUCCCGGUGUAGUGGUGAAAUGCGUAGAUAUCGGGAGGAACACCAGUGGCGAAGGCGGCUUUCUGGCCUGCUCUUGACGCUGAGGCGCGAAAGCUAGGGUAGCAAAAGGGAUUAGAUACCCCUGUAGUA
rnacentral:rRNA from 1 species